UAGAGUUUGAUCAUGGCUCAGGACAAACGCUGGCGGAAUGUAUUAGGCAUGCAAGUCGUACGAACCUUCGGGUUAGUGGCGAACGGGUGAGUAACACGUGGGUAACCUGCCUCGUAGUGGGGAAUAACUCGCCGAAAGGCGAGCUAAUACCGCAUAACACCCCUGGUGAGAAUCCAGGAGGUAAAAGCUCCGGCGCUACGAGAGGGGCCCGCGGCCGAUUAGCUAGUUGGUGGGGUAACGGCCUACCAAGGCGACGAUCGGUAGCUGGUCUGAGAGGAUGGUCAGCCACACGGGGACUGAGAUACGGCCCCGACUCCUACGGGAGGCAGCAGCUAAGAAUCUUGCGCAAUGGGCGAAAGCCUGACGCUGCAAUUCCGCGUGGGGGACGAAGGCCCUCGGGUCGUAAACCCCUUUUGUGAGGGAAGAAGUUCUGACGGUACCUCACGAAUAAGACACGGCUAACUACGUGCCAGCAGCCGCGGUAAUUC
rnacentral:rRNA from 1 species